rnacentral:rRNA from 1 species
ACUCAAAUGAAUUGACGGGGACCCGCACAAGCGGUGGAGCAUGGGGUUUAAUUCGACGCUACGCGAAGAACCUUACCGAGGCUUGACAUCCUGAGAAUCCGGCGGAAACGCUGGAGUGCCUUCGGGAACUCAGUGACAGGUGCUGCAUGGCCGUCGUCAGCUCGUGUUGUGAAAUGUUGGGUUAAGUCCCGCAACGAGCGCAACCCUUAUCGUGUGUUGAAUUUUUCACGCGAGACUGCCCGGGCCAACCGGGAGGAAGGUGGGGAUGAUGUCAGGUCAGCAUGGCCCUUACGCCUCGGGCCACACCCGUGCUACAAUGGCCGAUACAACGCGUCGCGAACCCGCGAGGGGGAGCUAAUCGCAUCAAAAUCGGUCUCAGUUCGGAUAACAGGCUGAAACUCGCCUGUUUGAAGCUGGAAUCGCUAGUAAACGUGGGUCAGCAUACCACGUUGAAUACGUUCCCGGGUCUUGCACACACCGCCCGU